rnacentral:lncRNA from 1 species
CCGGCUUCUUUUUAUUUUAUUUUUCAUCCUUUCGUACUUUAGAAUAUUCCCCUAGGUGUUGGUUAUCUUCACAUCCACCCCACCGUACAUCCCUAGUUUCAAGGAUAAAAUCUUAACUGCGAGGUUAAUGGAGUCCGCAAUUUUUCAAGGCUUCCAAGAGUUGCUGGGAAGCCAGCGCUCUGUCACUAGGGCAACAGAGCGAUUACGAUAACGCCAGGUUUGAGGCGCAAGGUUUAAGAAAGAGUAAAUGAGGAGCCCUCCAGGCCUCCAGCCUCACCGGGUGGGGGCCCAUCCCCGAGUCUCAACCCCUCAGGGCUGGGUUUGCCCCGCACCAAAGCAGCCACUCACAACUCUGAGCGUCUGGAGCUCGCGCCGCCCAGCCACCUACCCGAGAGAAACUCGGUGGGGACGCGGCGACACCGCAUUGAAACAGCCCCUCUCGCGCCCCGCACACGG